rnacentral:lncRNA from 1 species
GCGCGCUCAAAGUUGCCGGCGGCUGCGAUGACCCAUGUACCAUCUUCAACACUCCUCAGUACUGCUGCCCUUCCGGCUCCAGCUGCGAGCCAACCACCUAUUCCGAGUUCUAUAAGGGCCUGUGCCCGAAUGCGUUUAGCUACCCGGAUGAUUAUGUCAACACCAGCUUCACCUGCCCCGGUGGGAGCAACUACCAGGUUACCUUCUGCCCUUGAGGCUUUGAGAGCAUGGUCAUCCAUGCAUGACGCUGUUUCGAGUAUGUGAUAGCUUUGGAAUAAGGUGUUUGUAACCAAAUUUACGAGCCAUUAAACUGGCCUGUGAUGCGUGCAGCAUUAUUGGAAUUAUAGAAAUAAUUGUUUACUGUUAGUAAAUGCACUCUCCAUCUUCAAUAUCUUAUGGAUGACUACAAAAAUAAGAAAAUGGUAUAGCAAGUUGCUCUAUUCGGCAAUACAUCUCCUCUCCAGUAUGGCGCUAGCGUAAUAUCUGGUAAAUGGACCAAUUCCAGCGAUCACUGGCCCCAUCAGUUGCACCAUCCCCUUUUGCCCUGUGGAACAAGAAAUCCUGGAGUUAAUGCCUAGAAGUUGAUCUAACAAAGUGAAUCACCACAAAAUUCUUUCACCGGUCAACUGCUGGUGUAUUAUAAGUAGUUAUACGAACUGAGAGAAACUAUUUGGAAAGUUCGGAAGAUAAUGUCUUUUAAUUUUUGAGUGAGAGACUUGGGCCGAGCGUAGUCCAAUAUACUAAAAUAAAACAGAGUGCAAACGGUGACAUUUCUGAUUUCACCACCCCCGGGCCUCUUGAUUCUUACUAAGGCAGAAUUCAUUCAUGAUAUCUUUUAAUGAUUGUCAAAACUCACAUAUGCAAGUAAUUAAUAUUUUAAUAGAUCCUUAUUGAAUUUGAUUUAACUCUAAGACAGAAUUUCCCAACAUGCUGAAUGGAACCUCGGGGCAUAAUAGCGAUGGGAUUGGGAGGUAAUAAAAAACAAUACAAUUAAAACACAACAGAAUCAACAACUCUCCCACCUCAUGUAAACCUGUUAGGAAAUAAAUAAUGCUGCAACAAUAGAGCAAUAAAAACGUUGGAUAAUUGUUUACUGUUAGUAAAUGCGCUCCUCCAUGUUCGGUAUCGUAUGGAUGACUAAUUACAGAGGGAAAAGACGAGAAUACUAUGGCAAGUUGCACUAUCUAUUCGGCAAUCCAUUUCCUAUCAGAUAUGGCACUAUCUAAACGUCUAGGAAAUGGCCCAAGUCCAACGAUCACUGACCCCAUCAAUCGCACCAUCCCCCUUUGACAUGUUGGAUAAGAAAUACAGGAGCAAAACGCAUCGAAGCUGAUCUUGCAAAUUGAAUCACUCCAAAAUACUUUCAUUAAUCUAUUGCUGUUCCAAUAUUAAUUAUUUACAUGAACUAAGAGAAACUAUUGGGAAACUCUAGAGAAGAUACAUCCAUGUAUUUUUUUUAUUUUAUGACCGAAAGACUUGGGUUGAGUCUAAUCCAAUUUAUUAAAUUAAAAUAAAGUACAAACGGUUNNNNNNNNNNNNNNNNNNNNNNNNNNNNNNNNNNNNNNNNNNNNNNNNNNNNNNNNNNNNNNNNNNNNNNNNNNNNNNNNNNNNNNNNNNNNNNNNNNNNNNNNNNNNNNNNNNNNNNNNNNNNNNNNNNNNNNAUAUAUAUAUAUAUAUAUAUAUAUAUAUAUAUAUAAACAUCUUCCGUGUGUUACCUUCUAUCAUAUAUGGAACGUCGGGUCCCUGUUGCUUACAAACAGGUGCUCUGGCCAAGCCGAAUAAUAUUGGAUUUAGUAUCCUCUGUACAGGAUUAUUAAGUUGGUCACGAGGAAAAAUUUCAUCGUGCAUCAAGAUUUUGGAUAACCUUCGCAACAAAGUAUGCUCCAUUUGACGAUUAGAUUGCACUAAUCCCAGAAGCCCAUGGAGGAAGUUUCUCAGAACUUGAAUUCUCUGUAAGUCAAGUUGCAAUAGCUCACGUACUUAAAUCAGUUGAAGUAUGAAAGUGGAAUUGGUGUUGUGUGGGAGGAUGCAGAGAAGCAUAUAAGACGGUCAGUUUGGUGUUUCCAGAUAAUUUCCACGGACGUAGCGGUGGUUUUCCACUUCUACCAGCUAUUUCUCAGCAGACCUUUCGGGACUUCCAUCGAAGGACACUGUCAAGUUAGGCAAAUGGAUAACUUUCAAGGUUGUCUGCAUCAGCAGUCCAAACACUUGGAAGACGCAAGUAGGGAUGUUCACACGGAUGAUUUUUCUUAGCUCAUAAUUACCAUGCGCCUUACACGCAUCCAAAAUUUAUUUCUACAUGGUGAAGAUAUGUACAUGUUCUGAAAAUGGAUACAAGUGUGUCAGGUUGGAUUAGGAUUUGGCUUAGUCUGGAAAUGCAUAUAUUAAUUGUUGGAGUUUUAAUUUAUGAAAAGAUUUAAAUUUUAAAAAUAAAAAAUCAAUCUUAUUUCAUAUUUAUCAGUUGCUUCAAAAGUUUUAAAACUUUUUGUAUUUUUAGUCUAGCAUCAGAUUUGUGAAAGCAAGAAUGAAAAUCCUGUAUCCUUGGUUGACAACCGUGCGCCAUACUCACUGAACCUGCAUCCUCGGUGUUUUUUUGGCCUGCACCUCUUUUGAUGCAUCAAUCUUUUAAUCUUAGCUGAUCUAGAUGUGAUGUAACACAUCCCAUCAGGUGACGAUUACAAAGGUGAUAGGAUGUACCUUGAAGAAUCUGAUAGAGGCAAGAUUUAAACUUAUCCAAUGGAUAGAAACCAUGGAGGCUCUAGUGAAGGUAAGAUCAAUCACCGUGCUUGCCUAGCAGUCCAUUGAUAAAGUAGAUAUGACUGAGCAGGUUGCUCCCUAGCAUAUAGAUUUGGCAUGACUACAUAUGAAGAUGACGUGAUGGUAUCCUCGAAAGUAGUUGCCCCCUGCCCUCGAAAUAAGAGUAGGCUACAUUGCAAGCUGGUUGAACUGUUGUUCUUCAUCCACUAGUACUUAAAAAUAUCUAACUUUGGCAAAAGUGACUGGAGUCAACAUGAUUCCAUCGACUUCUCUCUUAGCUACCAUUUGCAAAAAUCAAGUUAGUUGAGGCCCAUCUCGGGCUUGUAUAUUGGCCUAAUAUUGACCAAAGCCUUAUUGACUGUCUAUUUGAUAUGAUUUGCUCUUGCAUUAACCUGCAGGACCUCCUUGUCUCAGCCUAUAGAUUCCAAAAGCUCCAUAAGAAAAUUUUCGGGCUCUUCCCCCUGAUGAGCCUAACUCGGAUUCUUCAUAUACUACAAUACUUCCCAGUAAAAUGGACUCAUCUUCCAUGAAGAUAGGAUCGAUUUCUUCUUCUACAGGAUAUACUAGAAUGUACUGUGAUUUGGUGCAUCAGCUUCCUUCUUUUUCAGAGCGAGACUCCCCAGGAAAGGUCAUGUUUAAUUAGUUCAAAGUAAGCAUGGAAACAGAUCUUUCAAUCCAUUCCACUAUCGAAGCCGAAGAUGCUGCAUAACGAUCCAAAAGUGGUCUUAGUAUAGAGGCCGCUUUCUAUGCCGUUGCUUCCUUAACUUCCUUCCAUAGUGGUAUAGUGGCAAUUACAUGAUUAUGUCACUAGAACUAAUAUGACAAUGACUACGUAUGGCUUCACUAAUACUAGGGUUCCACUAAUACAUAGGGUUACACAAUUAAGUCGGACCCAUCUUGGAUUCUAAGAACGACAAUGAUGACUCGAUUGCACUAGGUCCUCCUGAUUUUCCAUUGCAUAAGUCUAAUGUGGCGGUUGUUGCAGCUACGGUUGUUGCUGCUGUUGGUUAGUGACCAUCUACUAUAAAUUCUAGGGCGGCGGCGGUCAGCGAUUGAACCUGCUGCAUGAGCAGACUAAACUAUUCACUGGUGGUCGACGGGUCAGGCUGUGGCUCUUGCUGGGGAGCCCUCCGAGAGCUCUAUAAAAAGCCAUUAGACUCCAUGACUGCAUCCUAUUGGGCAAUUGCAGUCGCUACCUAGGUUUUCUUAACUUCAUAGCUGUGUGUCGUCCACUUGAUCGAUCAGACCUCCAAAGAUAGAAUCAUAACCCUUCCACUAGCCCCAAUCUAUUGCCGCUAGGAACUAGUCCAACCUAGGCACUGAGUUGGUGGGGAUCGCAAAGAUCUCAGCUCGUUUGUCGUCCAGAUCAGAGAAAUCAGAUGAGAUCGUUGCAUGUCUCCACGGUAAUGUUCCAGUGGUUGUUGCACUCGAUCAAUGGUGAUCCCGAUGUCGAACACUCACGAGUCGGUAUUGUAUGAUGGAGGAACGGCUUCAUGCGAUGCUCUGACGUAGGCUCCAACCUGAAACGGUAAAAAUAAAGAAGUCCACACACUGGAGCAUAUUCGAUGGGGAUCCUUCGAUGCCCAAGUCAGACACAACUCAAAAAGAAUGGGAGGAGGCCUGAGAUGGGAGAGAGGAAGCACAAGAGAGUCGAAAGAGAGCUUGUACGGAGGGUCUUCAUAAAUGCAAUACAUAGAUAAGGAUCGAAGCCCGCCGCCAAGUAAUUUGGAGCUAUAUAUAUGCUAGUUGAUGAGGCAAUAAGUUUUUAUUGGUUAGUUUGUUUCAUCAGCAUGGAUCAAUUCGGAGAUAAAUGAUCCUAAAUAGGUUGGUUUUGAAUGAAAAUAAAUUUUUGCCUAGAUUUCUUUUCCAGGCUAUGAAAAUCCAUGAGGAUCGUAGAGUCUGUCCCUGGCCUUUCAGGGAAAGGGUCCAUCCAAAUCCUGCCGCAGAUUAGAACUCUUGCAAUACAUAAAGAUGAUGAAUUUUUAUUGAUUGGUUUGUCUUAUCAGCAUGAAUCAAUUGUAAAAUAAAUGAUUUUUAAUUGGUUGGUUUUUUGAAAAUAAAUUUUUGUCCAGAUUCUUUUUCCUAGGCUGUGAAAAUUUUUGAGGAUCUAAUAAUUGUCUGUCUUUUUUUCGUACAGUCAGUCCCCUGAAAGGUCCAUCCAAAUCCUGCCGCAUAUUCGAACCCUUGUAAUGGUUAUCCAGUUAGUGGAUGGCUUAGAAAUUUUUCAGAUGACGUCGUUCACUCGCAGGCUUGCGCGCAGUACCAUCUGAGAAUAAAAUGCCGUCGGCUUGCCCGUAACCUCUCUCUCUCUCUCUGUCUUUGUCUGCUGGCCAAAUUUUUCCAUGCUAUAAGGACCCGCUGAGAGACGUCAUGAAGAUAACGCAUGAAAUUUUUCAAACGAUGACGACAAUAGUCUCCAAUGCUAUUGGGACACCUCCGGCUCAGAGGCAUUAUGGAAGACGACGCAUGGCACUUUUCCAACAAUGACAGGCAGUUUAGUCUCCAACCGCGUAGUGAUCCCCUUCUCGGCAAGAUAGCUCAUAUGUGAAAGCAGUAGAGUAUAGCGUACUGCUCGCGCCGUGAGCUUACAGAAUAACUUGACAUUUAUAUACAUAGAAAAGCCUCCUACGUACUUUAAUGUAACAUUAAAUUCCGUUGCACUUGCGUAGACGGGAAAGCAUACAAGUUGGAUGAUCAAGGAUGAUACUUGAGAUCUGGGCGCGGAAUGUAUUUGCAGAAAUUUUCUAUUAGGAAGAGCAUUUUUCAAUGGUUGGGUUAAAAAUUCUAUUAAAUUCAUAUGUUGGGCCAGUACAAUGAACAUGAUCAAAAAUAUCCAAAAAUAGUUUUGGAGCGAGUUGGCCUAAAUUUUAUAAGAAAAAAAAACUCAGUAGGUCUAGUCUGGCCUCUAAUUCUGUAAUUUUGCUGAUUGUAAUGAUCCAACCCAUAAAUUUAAUAGGAUUUUCAGUCUACUCAUUCAGACAGGUCCUUCCAUGUGGUGCCGACUUUUGAGGUACAUGCGAGGACACCAUGGUCAAGCUCUGUUCAUGGAAAACAUCAACGUGAGUUAAUUAGCAUCAGAUACCUGUGACUUAUGAAUGGGAGGAUGCUGAGCUGUGGAGAUGGAUGGGUCAUGAAUUAUUAACUUGCUAGUUAUUUACUAAGGCUCAUAAUGGAUCACUACAUGAUUUGUUCAAGAGCAAAUUUGCAUAUAUGACAUCAAGAGUAUCACGAGCUUUCCUUUCUUUUGCGAGAACACGGUGAUUAUUACUUAAGUUUGAGUUCGAAAUGUAUACAUGACCUAACAUGGUAUUUCGUACAAGUAUGUUACAUACGGCACUCAAUAUUUUUUCUAAAUUAUUUUACAGUUUACUAAAUAUACUAUGAAAUAUACUCGUUAUGAUAUUUUUUUUAAUAAUUUGAGACUUUUCAAUACCUCAAGCAGAAACACAAAUUUAAUUAUUCUAAAGCCCAAAGAAAGGUCUGCAGUCCUCAAUAGCUUACUCCCUGGGAGGCUUCCCCUGCUUUGGUUCUGUUCUAUAGAUAUUAACAAAAAUAAAAUAUAAAGAUAUAGAUUUUGUAUUUUAAAUAUAAAGUGUGGAAUAAGAGAAUAUUUCUUACCAAAUAUGUUACACACAGAAAUAGUUGCAGUAUAUGUAACAAGAAAUAGUGGUCAAAUUUUAAUAAGUUAGAAAGUGAAUUGAGCAUACAAAAAAUUUUAGACUCAUGAAUUAGGUAUAGGUAAAAAAAAAAAAAAUCAAGAUUCAGAUUUUAAGGUGUACCUCAAGAUUGUGUAUAGUGUUUUUUUCUUUUUGGGCUAAAAUCUCUUAUCAUAUAUAUAUAUAUAUAUAUAUAUAUAUAUAUAUAUAUAUAUAUAUAUAUAUAUAUAUANNNNNNNNNNNNNNNNNNNNNNNNNNNNNNNNNNUUAUGGAGGUUAUUAAUAUCUAAGAAUCAUGCUUAUCUAAGAGUUUGAUUUUAUUCAAAAUCAUUUAUUAUUGUUUUUAUGAUCGACAUUAUAUCAUAAAGAAUAAUUCAACUAGCAACAUUCCAAAAAUUGUUCCUAUGACAUUUCAAACUUUCACUUUUUCAUAUAUUUUAAACUUUUAAAAUAUUUACUUAUGCAAUUAUGGUAAAGAAAAUGUAUGUCAUAUCCAUUUCCUCAAAAAAGGUAUAAUGUAAAGUGUGAAGCCGACCCUCUGUAAAUGGCAUUUAAGUUACUACAUAAAAUAAAAGCACAAAAAGUUUUAUAUGAAUGAACUAAGAAAUAUUCAAUAAUUUGAGAAGUACAUUAUAUUAUAUAAAAAUCAUUCAAAUAAUAAAGCAAAGAUACCAUGCAUGGAAAUCUGAUUUAUGAAAACAAAUAAAGUUAGUAGUAAAGAAUAUAUAAUUAGAUACUAAAAAUAUCCGUAGUAUGUUGGGUCAAUUAUUUUAUGAUUUUCUAGAUUUUUUUGAAUUUUUAUAAGCAGCAUUUUUUCAUAAUUUUUUAUUUAUAAUAUCCACAAGAAAGUCCAAUCAGUUUUAACCACUGAAACAAAAACAGAGCGGGAAAGCUUAAAUGGAAUUUUUGUUGAUGAUUUAGUUAAACAAUUUUAGUUGAUCCAUUGAUAUAACAUAUUUGGAUAACUUUAAUAUAUUUAGAUAAUUUUUACAUAUUUAUAUGAUUUAUAAUCCAUCUUUUUUUUUGAAUUUAGCAUGUAAAAAAUUUGAAUUUUGUGCAUACAAAUUUGAAUUAUGUGGCUUAUUUGAAUUUGAUUUAAUAUGCUUCGUUUAUUUUUUUGUGCAUAUAUGCGAUUUUUUAUACAAAUUUUUCUUUGUAACAUACAUAACUUCACAAAAUGUCACGCUUUUUUUUUGUAGAAAAUUUCUUUUUUGACAUGACUUCCAAAAAUGUCUCUAUUUUUUUUGAAUUGCGGAGAGGGGUUGUGUUUUUUCUUUCUUUUCCAUUUAAUUGGUAUAGAGAUAACCUUAUAACGAGGCAUUAGAAUCCUCUGGGUAGGUUGUAGAAAAUUCUUAACUGCAACUAAGCCAUGUGUCAGAUUUAUAUUUGUCGUUUGAUCAACUAUAUCGAGUGCAUCUAGAAGAUCAAGUAAGUUGGUUUCGAAUGAAGAUAAACUUGGCUCUUCUUGACUUUAUCCUUAGGUUGGCAAUCGUCCACUCUAAGUUGAACAGGUUUGAAACCAUCCUAAUCCUUUCUUUUUUAUUUUUCUUUUUCUUUCUUUUUCUUUUUCUUUUCUUAGCAAAAGGGAAGAGUGGAGUGAGGAGAACCUCACCCGCAUAGCAACCCCCAUUGGGUCCUCUCCCUGCUCGAGAAUAUUUAAUACGGGUAGAACCUUUUUUACUCAUACCCUCCCCACCCGUGGUAGAGUCCCACCAGCAUGGCAGCCCUGCCCUCGUGUGAGUAGUGACACCAACACCACCUAAGUAAACGGUAGAUCAGAUAGCGACUCUACCGGACAAAUCAAGCAGGGAGCAUCCGGUCCUCAUAUUUAAUCGAUGUCCGCACAUUUCGAACUUGAGCCAUUCCGGUGGAAUCAAAAUGCCAUUCCCACAGUGCUACCAUCUCGGUGGUGCCUUCCUAAUCAUCUGGUGGACUAGAAGUGUUGUCCUGAUGAUCCUAAUAACUAGUGCAUGACUUUAAUUUUAUCAUAGUCUUGCAUACUUGCUUUGGAAGGUAAUGCAUGGGAGAUUUUUCAACAAUGACGACAUUUGAAUAAUCUCCGGCAACGUUUUGUUCCCGUCGCCUGCAUCCCAAGACUCCUUCAACAGAGUCACGAGAAAAUUGGGAGGGCAUGCGAGACUUAUCCCUGGAAGACGUUUCCACACUUGACCUGCUUUUUGCCCGAAAGAACUUAACGAAGUCAUCAUUAAAAAAGAUGACUACAUGGCAGGGGAAUAGAAAAACUCGUUCAUUCAUAAAUGCAGCAUUGCUAAAUUCAGUUGUACCUACCGACAAGCACAAGCUCGCGAACUAAGGUUUUUUUUUUUUUUUUUUUGUUCCUGAUGAUCCUAACCAGCAUGGUUAGCCACGUAAGUGGCCACCCAAUCUGCAGCUCCGUCAGCUUCUCUAAACACAUGCUUCACCUGGAUAUUCCUUUCGUCCCUCAUCAUCAUUCAGAUAUCGCGAAGCAAAGAAUGGUCACCAGCAGCGACCCUCAGACCUCUCUGGAUCUAGGUGAUGACCGUAGCCGAGUCACCCUUCAAGAUGACCGACCCAACUGAGAGCACACACUGAGCAUAUCGAAGGCCCGCCCAGGCUGCCCUUAGCUCUGCACCAGAAAUCGUGCAGUCAAAUAAUUGACAGCCUCCCACUGCCACGACCCUGAAGUUCGGAUCCCUAAUGAUGAAAUCCGCUCCACCAUUAGCGCCUCCAUCCAGCACCGACCCAUAAAAAUUGACCUUGAGGAAACUACGGGGUAGGGGCUUCCAGGUGAAAAACAUCAUACGAGGAGCUGCAGAGGCAGAAUGGGAACCCCAGAUAUCCCAAGCUGUCCAAGGUCCUUCUAAGGAGGAAGCAUGACUAAUCUUUGCCGCCUGCGCCGAGGCACUCUUUGCCACAAGCCUUGGCGACUUGCUGUGCUCACCAAAGGUUUGAGCAUUUCUUGCCAGCCAUACCUGGUAUGCUAUGCAAGUCGUCCUAACCGCCUCCUGGCGUGUCAGUGGGUUACCCGACCACCUACGAAUGGUCCAUAAGAACUGAUCCCCCUUAGACUAACUCUUCCGCAGCAGCACCGCUGCACUCCACGCCGCCCUAGCUCAUGUGCACUGAAACACUACGUGGUCCACCGACUCAUCGGCACCGCAUGCCCCACACUCAGGGGGUAGCCUCAGUCCCCGUCCGCUGAGUACUGCUCUCGUCGGAAGCCGAUCCCAGACGACAUUCCAUAAGAACAGUAUAACCCUCGAGUGGAGACCUAGGCGUCAGACCCAGGCACACUCCGGACCUAGCUCAUGAUCAGGCCGGAGCACUCGGAAGAGCUCUCCCACCCUAAUGCAGGUACUACACAACGUGCUCCACACCUGAGUAUCAGGACCACAUACCUCGGAAUCGGAAGAGACCGGACCCUCUCAGUUAGGUGUGUCCCAAAUAUUUGACCCAACCUAGCCUCAUCCAUAGCAGCCUUGCCAAGGUCAAGGAGGUCGCAAACCUGCAGUCCUCCACUACCUCAAUAUCAACCGUAGUCAACCAGAGUCUCCAAGGGAGGGCAACCACCCAUGGGUCGCCAACCACAUCGAUACUCCGCCCAUCACCUGUCAACCAUAUAGGAUUCUCCAUAACUGUUGGUAGAAAUCUUGCGAUCUCUCGCCACAUGAAUGGGCAACGAUUUGUACUGUGGAUCACCCCUACAUUACCCGUUCGGCCAUAUCUGGCAGCGAUGGUCUGACUCCAAAACCCCUGCAGCUCUAGCGUGAAUUGAGCUGCAUGUCGGGCAAACAACGGCUCGCGCCUCUCCAAAAGAGACAGCACACCAAGGCUUUCCUUACUCAACGGUAGGCAGAUACUCUCCCAUGCCACUAAAUGCACCCCAUGACCCCCUCCAUACAACCCCCAUAGGAAGCUUCGAAGUAGUCUCUCGAUCCUCAUCAGCACCAUUUUCGAAACCACCGUGUUUGCCAUUAGGUAGACAAGCAUGGAACCUAGCACUGAUCUAAUCAGCGUCAAUCUACCCAUCAUAGAAAGCGAAGACACCCUCCAGCACUCCAGUCUACUCUGAAUCUUCUGCACCAGACCGGUGCACUCGGCUACCCGCAGCCUCCUACCCGUAAUGGAUACUCCCAGGUAGCUCCAGGUCCCAUCCUAUACCAGCAUCUUCAGUAUUCCCCGAAUCUUCUGUCUGACCCUAUACUCCAUGCUAGAGCUGAAGGAGAUGGUUGACUUCUGGAGGUUUACCUUCUGCCCUGACACUGCGUAGUACUUCGCUAAUAUUCUUCUAAGCACUCGUGCAUCCGCUGCCCGCGCAUUGACUAGGAGAAGACAAUUAUCUGCGAACAAUAAGUAUGAUAUAGGUCAAGACCCUGGGUCUAACUGGGUCGGGUCACGAGUCGACCCAACCCAUUUGUAGCCUUAUUUCUACUUAAUAGGUACCUAAAAAUAGAGAUAGAUAUUGAAAUAUUUAAUCAAAAAAAAUGUAUAUAAAAAUAAUAGAAAUAAUGAAAGAAAAAUUCUAACUUAUUGCUAAUGUAUCUUCUUAAGUUUGAAGACUCCAAAUAAAAUUCUUACUAUUUGGACAGUUUUUUUUAAAAUUUUUUUUUCAUGCAGUCUUCAUAUUUUCCUUUUUUUUGUUUGGUUUUCUCUACAAAUUUCUUUCAAUUUUUACAAAAUUUUGGUGAAAGCACUAACCCACUCUCUUUUUUCCGUUUAAUAGGUACGGAGACAUAGAGAUUAUUAUUUUAUCUUAAUUAUUAAAUUAAUAGCUUUCUACAUACACAAAAUAAAAUAAAUUAACUUUUAAUGUUAUCGGGGUUGUUGGAAUCAGCAGUCCAAACACUUGGAACACGCAAUUAGGGAUGUUGACACGGAUGAUUUUUCAUUAGCUCAUAGCCACUGAUCGAAUCAUGUACCUGGGACUUCCACCAAAGGACACGGUCAAGAAAGACAAAAACGCCUCCUCCUCAGCCUACCCUCCCCCAUCGCCCUAUAAAUACUCUUACUGCCCAUCCCGCAACCCCACACAAUCCUCAACCAGAGAGCCAUCUUCCUGGGUAUCAAAAUGGCCUCCUCGACCUCCCUCACUCUCCUCUUCUUCCCCUUCCUCCUCCUCACCCUCUCCCACGCCGCCACCUUCAACGUCGUCAACCAAUGUUCCUACACCGUGUGGGCUGCAUGGGCAGCCACCGGCAACGUCGGCGGCGGCCAGCAGCUCGACCAAGGCCAGACCUGGACGGUCACCGUCAACGCCGGCACCACCGGUGGCCGCAUCUGGGCCCGUACUGGCUGCUCCUUCGAUGCCAACGGCAACGGGAACUGCCAGAGCGGCGACUGCGGCAAGCUCGCGCGCCUGCACCUCCUACGGCUCCGCACCCAACACCCUCGCGGAAUUCGCCCUAAACCAGUUCCAGAACCUCGACUUCAACGACAUCUCCCUCGUUCAGGGCUUCAACGUGCCCAUGGACUUCCGCUCCACCUCGUCGGACUGCAGCCAAGAUAUCCAAUGCACCGCCGACGUCGUUGGGCAGUGCCCCAGCGAGCUUAAAGUGCCCGGCGGCUGUGAUGACCCAUGCACCAUCUUCAACGCUCCUCAGUACUGCCCCCCUAACGGCUCCAGCUGCGAGCCAACCACCUAUUCCGAGUUCUUUAAGAGGCUGUGCCCGAAUGCGUUUAGCUACCCAGAUGAUUAUGUGAACACCAGCUUCACCUGCCCCGGUGGGAGCAACUACCAGGUUACCUUCUGCCCUUGAGGCUUUGAGAGCAUGGUGAUCCAUGCAUGACGCUGUUUCGAGUAUGUGAUAGCUUUG